rnacentral:rRNA from 1 species
UCUACGGGAGGCAGCAGCAAGGAAUUUUCCACAAUGGGCGCAAGCCUGAUGGGGCAACGCCGCGUGCGGGAUGACGCCCCUCGGGGUGUAAACCGCUUUUCGAGGGGACGAAGGCAAUGACGGUACCCUCGGAAUAAGGAUCGGCUAACUACGUGCCAGCAGCCGCGGUAAUA